UACGAAGGGGGCUAGCGUUGCUCGGAAUCACUGGGCGUAAAGGGCGCGUAGGCGGCCAUUCAAGUCAGAGGUGAAAGCCCAAGGCUCAACCUUGGAAUUGCCUUUGAUACUGUUUGGCUUGAGACCGGAAGAGGUAAGUGGAACUGCGAGUGUAGAGGUGAAAUUCGUAGAUAUUCGCAAGAACACCAGUGGCGAAGGCGGCUUACUGGUCCGGUUCUGACGCUGAGGCGCGAAAGUGUGGGGAGCGAACCGG
rnacentral:rRNA from 1 species